rnacentral:sRNA from 1 species
CUGCACCUGAUUGGCAUAGGCGGCCUUUUCGGCCGUUGCUUCGACGU